CAUCCUUUGUGAAGAGACAAAGAGAGACCGUGUGGUCUGGGGACAAGCCUCUGUCCAGUUUUCCAAGGACUUUUGUCAUCUGAAAUUGUUUUCAGGACAGUCUUUCAAUUGGCUUUCCAGGAGGCUGAUUCUGCAGUUCACACCGCAGGCAAUAACUCUGACCGCCACCCCCCAGCCCCACUCAGUGUUAGUCUAGCAGCUUUGCCUUUCUCUUUAGACCCAACUCAGACCCUGCCAUAUGGAUACACUGUUUAAAAGAGUGUACCAAGAUGCACCACCUCCCCCCACCCCCAGAAAGCAAAUGGUAUCUCCCUAUUGUCAGAAAAUAACACAACUCACAUCAAUGACCUUUCUUCUCCUCCCUCCUUCUCUCCCUCCCUCCCCUUCCUACCCCUCUCUCUAUUCCUCCCUCCUUUCCUCUGUUUUGCCUUCCUUCCCUUCCUUCUAACCCCCCCCCCCCCCCCCCCCCCAGCAAGCUCUCUCUACAUAGCCCCGGCUGUCUUGGAACUCACUCUGUAGACCAGGCUGGCCUGGAACUCUGCCUGCCUCUUCCUCCCGAGUGCUGGGAUUAAAGUCAUGUACCACCACACCUGGCAAUUUGUCUCAAUUUAACCUGUUUUACUGAGUUCCAUGUGAUUUAAUCUGUUACAGUUUAAAGCUCAGGUUUCCUAUGAUAACGAUAUGGCAGACCUUGAGAGAUUUAGGUCCCUAAUCAUUAAAAAAUGGAUUUCUGCAUUGUGUAAAAAUCUUUGUCAUGGUAUGCUUGAGAAAUCUUUCCCAAAAUCAUUUAUAAUUUUUUUGUAAGUGCCCAUGUAAUACAUGGACAGAUGUUUUGACAAAACUCAAGCACCAAACAUUUAAUUUUUUUUUUGUAUCUAACAUUUGUGGAUGUGCAUGUGUGCCUUCGUGUAGUGUUUAGGUGUGUCCCUCAGAGCUGUCCAUUUUGCCUGUUGGAGCAGGUUCUCUCAUUGGCAC
rnacentral:lncRNA from 1 species